AAUACAGCGACAGCAGGUUAAUACAGCAGGUCAAUACAGCGGCAGCAGGUUAAUACAGCGACAGCAGGUUAAUGCAGCAGUACAGUAUGUUAAUACAGCAAUAUCAGGUUAAUACAGCGACAGCGGGUUAAUACAGUGAAGGCAUGUUAAUACAGCGACAGCAGGUUAAUACAGCGACAGCAGGUUAAUACAGCGACAGCAGGUUAAUACAGUGAAGGCAGGUUAAUACAGCAUGUUAAUACAGUGACAGCAGGUUAAUACAGCAUGUUAAUACAGCGACAGCAUGUUAAUACAGUGACAGCAUGUUAAUACAGUGACAGCAAGUUAAUACAGCAGGUUAAUACAGCGAUAGCAGAUUAAUACAGCGACAGCAUGUUAAUACAGUAGACCAUUUGCUCCAUGUCCUAGUCAUAUUUUAUCUUAACGAGAGGGCUGCUGCCACAGCUUAGUGCCUCUGCACAGAAACAGACAGAAAGAAAUAGAAAGAGAGAGCAGGAGAGAGAGCGAGGUAAUACAGACAGAAUGACAUGGGGGAGGAGAGGUAAUACAGACAGAAUGACAUGGGGGAGGAGAG
rnacentral:lncRNA from 1 species